rnacentral:lncRNA from 1 species
AAAUACAUCACAUUCUUGGACAUCAAUUUAAAGAUACUUUGUCGACAUACUGUACCUUUUGUCUUACGCGUGAAGACACGGAUGAUGGUAUGCAUAAAAAAGACAGCGUACAAAUAACAGAACAAUCAGAUCAGGUUUCAUAUACACAGUAGAUGGACUUUCUGUUCUUGAAAAGGCUAAAAAAUGGACAGUUGGUAUAGAAUUAAAUGGAAAGAGAAUUUGUGCCGGAGCACUUGUUCACAGCAAAUGGAUUCUGACGUUAGCAGAGUGUAUAAGUGAAAGUGAACUAGAUGACUAUACUGUUACAUUUGAAGGCGAUGAAACGGGAGGUGUUGUGGAAUCAAGAUUGAGUAAAGAUGAGGAAACACUCGUUCUUUUGAAGUUGCAAAGCAAGGUACAAGGAAAAGUAGAGGAGUUUAUACCAAUACUAGCAAAUAAAUUAAUCAAAACAGCUUCAUCAAAGACUAAAAUAGAGAGUGAAAUCUCUUACUGGGGUGCAUCAGGUGACUUCACAAUGAGUGAUAUAAACAUUGUGGGUGAUAGCUUGUGUGAAGAUGAAGAUUUCAAUAAAAAGCGGCAUAUAUGCUACGUAUCAAAGAAGACAAACAUAGUAUGCUCAGCAAUCCCUGGGCUAUCCGUAACUAGUGUCUUUAAGAAGAAAUGGAGCCUGCUUGGCUUUUCAACUUCAGAGGAAAACGUUUGCGAUGGCGCUCAUAGAAAAGUAGUCGAAAUUGCGCCACAUUAUGGUUG